GUCAUGCAGGGUGUGUUCCCCUCCCCCUCCGUCUGCAGGGGGGGGCUGCCCUAACCCUUGAACAAAGGCCGGAAGUGGUAAGCAAACUGCUGCACGAAGCGAAUGCCUUUCAAUCAAACUAGGGCUCGCCAGGCAAGAUCUCCCUUAAAAGGAAACGCCCAGAGAAAGGCGUUCCUGCCGUCCUGGUUCUGGUGGGCAAGGCGCAGGAAACGUGGGGACAACAUGCAAUGGGCGCCGAGAAACAGGCCGGCGGCUUCCGGCAACGCGCCGCGGGGACCCUCGGGGAUACCCAGGGCCCGAUCCGCCUGGCACGUGCGGCGUCUGCUCGCUCCUCGGCCCCGGAGCGGCCGCGUGGCCUCCAAGGUUGGACAAAGAUGACAGCCUAGUUACGUCCCCAACGCGCCUUGAUCCCCGACCCCAGGGUCGCAGGGCGAGCCGCACCCUUCGCCGCCGCCAUCUUGUUGUUUUCUUCCCGCCGGGCCACGUGACGCGUCCCUGCGGAAGCCCAGGCUCCCCCACCGCCCCAACUUCCGGCCAGACCGGUUCCAGCCGGCCCCUGCCUGCAGACGCGCAGCUGCCCCCUAGCGGCCGGUCACUUCCGGCCCCGCCCUGCCGGCCGCCAUUUCCCUCCCCGGCGGCCGCACGUCAGCGCCCUGCAGCACGUCUGCGCCGUAGCGCGGCCCGCCCCGGCCUGCGCGCCCACGUUUUCUGUCGCGUUCACCGUGACCCCUGUGAAAGGAGCCUGGGUCCCUGAAAGAUUGCUGGACUGGGUCCUUUCUCAUGCCCUCUGACAACAGGACAUGGAAGACAGGGUCAAACCCGCAACCUUGGCGCAUCGGGACAAUGCUCCAACCAGCUGAGCUACCCAGCCAGAGCUCAGCCUCCUCUUUGAAACGUUGAAGCCAGUGGGCUUCCUAACGAGACAAAGUGUCCUGUCAUUGUUCCUGAAAACAUGGAGCAAUGGUUGGAGGAAGUGGGUCAUCUUGAACUUCAUGAAAUGUGUUCAUCCUUGGGGCUCGACGGAGGGGGGCAGAGAAGGGGGCGCAUAAGGGGCACCUGUAAUACUGUCAACAACACAUACAAUAAAAAUAACUAAACAAAUAAAUGUGUUCGUUCUUUGCGAUUUGGAAGAGCAAGAAGUAUUUUGGAAUAGUGCUAUAGGUUCACCGAGGAGCCAGGAAGUUUGGGAGGAGAGAGGUCAGGGCAGAACACGGGCAUUUUCCUUUCAAGGAUCCGGUGGUAACGUUGCAGGGAUGAUUGCUUUUGGAUCUUUGCCACGAGAUGUGUUUACUGCGCAGGAACAGUCCCUCAAGGCAGAGAUAGUAUCUGCGCAGGGCAUUCCAAGAGCAGCAGAAACAGGCCGGCUCACCGAGGAGGCUUGAGCUGGGGAAGGCUGGCUGAUGGGGCAGGAGCGCCGAGAGGAAGGGACGGGCUGGCCCAGAAGGAAGGGCAGAGACCAGGGCUGAGGAUGCUGUGUCACAUGGUACCAUGAGCUGCCAGAGGUGAUGCUGCUAAGAAAUUCUUCACGGGGAUGAGAGCUGCAGCAGAAGGUCCCUCAACCAUUCGGAGGGACUGAGGAGUGGGGCCUGGGAGACCCCUUCUGGGGAGGCAGCGUCCCCUCUUCUGUCCAUUCAGGAAGAUGCUCAGCCCCGCUUUUGCACAGGUCAGCCACUCACCACUCAGCAGAGAACUUGAAAAGCAGCCAUAAAAGAGACAUCGAGGAUUUUGUGGGCCGUAAACCUCCAAGAUGAAUUUUCCUAUCACGUUUUACGAGCAUGAGUUGUAAAGCCUUCAGGAUGCCGGGCUGCCCCUCCGCGGUGCCCACAAGCGUCCUCCGGAAGUGAUGAUUGGUGUUAGCUCAGCCAGAGACCUUGGAUGAUGCAGGCACCGCGCCUUAGCCCACGGAGCUGGUAGAGAAAUGAGCUGGAACGCAACGCUGUGGAUCUUGCACAUUCCAUCUGCCCACCAGGAUGCAGUCUGAGGUGGAAGCAGUGAUGCUUUAAGAACUGGACUUCUCGGCGUUCCCUGGGAGAGAGAGCAUUGACUUGGUCUGUCUGCUGCUGGAGAAGAGAACUGUGAGGUCAGGUCCUGGGUGUCACUUGCUCAGUACUCUACCUCUGGGACCUGCGUUCGCAUCAAAUUGCAAGAGGCAGCGGUGCAUAUAGACUUGGAUGGUCUAGGUUCAAAUCUCAGCUCUGCCACUUAUUAGCUGUGUGGCUGUGGGCAAGUCACUCAACCUCUCUGUGCUCAGGUUUCCUCAUUAGCAAAUUGGGAGCUGUGGAAGUACCUACCGCAUAGCAUUGCUACAGGGAUACCAAGAGCGCAAACAUCUUAGAACCUUACCAGACACUGUAAAUGGGAGGAAUCUCGAGGCAUGUUCGCUUUUCAUCUUGUUUCCUGACACAGAAUAACAUCUUCUCACAGUGAAAUGAAACCUCCGUGUUCCCCCCCCGCUCCCCGCACCCCAUGCAGCUCAGCCAUAUGGAAACAGCAGUAAACAAAAUCACCAGCGUGUCUCAAACCCGAAGGCAGGACAGUGAAUUGGCAGCAGCCUGAAGGGGAGAGAAGAAACCCAACCUCUUCAGAUCUUAGGAUUUAGCUUCUUAUCUGCUGGAUCCUGGGGGCAGGAUGGAGAAAGAGCCGUAAUGUCUGAUGGCACCAACCACAUCCUGGACCAUACUGCAGACGCCACUGGGCCAACCAGUCGCUGCUCAGAGAGUGCUGUGCCCUCCUUCCCCCCUGGCACGCAGCCCGGCCACAUGCCUGGAGCUUCCGGUUCUUCCUGAACACACAGAAGCACCUUUGUGGUUAUGGGAUCUGGCAACUGCACGUUCAGUUGACCUUCACUUUGACCUGUUGGAGCCAGGCUGCAGCCAGGAAUACUGCUAAUUGACUGCUUUUCAAUCCAACGGCUCAUAUGAGAUGGACCAAGAGCACUUAGCUGUUAUAAACCAGCGUUGAAUUUGGCUUCUUUUCACCUCCAGCCACCGAGUAGCUGUCAGGCGCCACUGACUUCAAGUCUAUUGCUGAGCCUCACAUUUAUUGGAUUUGCCUUUUUUGAUGCGGCAAGCUGCCAUGUCAGAAAAACCCACAUGGUAAGGACCUGUGGCCAGCAGCCUAUGGACAGCUGAGUCUGGCCAUCAGCCACUAAUUGGGCGUGCAAGCAGGCCCUUCUCCAUUCGAGUAUUCAGCAGGUCCAGGAGCGAGCUGUUUAAGGUCAGUGAGUCCUUGUCACGUGUGUUUAUCUGCUUACCCAUUCCACCACUGGAGUGUCCCAUCAGAAUCCAUCCUUGGGGUGAAAGGUGGAACCUGCGGCCCACAGUGUACAAAGUGCUCCAGGAAAGCACUCUGUGGGCCUCACACUAGAACAGCGGUUCUCAACCUGGGGGUCGAACGACCCUUUCACAGGGGUCGCCUAAGACCAUCGGAAAAACACAUAUAUAAUUACAUAUUGUUUUUGUGAUGAAUCACUAUGCUUUCAUUAUGUUCAAUUUGUAACAAUGAAAUUGGGGGUCACCACAACAUGAGGAACUGUAUUAAAGGGUCGCGGCAUCAGGAAGGUUGAGAACCACUGCACUAGAACCUUCACUUACCAUUUAGCUUGCACAUCAGUCAGCCAAGCAGUUACUCCCUGGGGUCUGGAACUUCAGCCUGAGCGGGGGACUAGUCAUGCCCCAGCCGCUGUCCACAGCGAAGUUACGGAUGCCGAAACGCACAUCCCAGCCCGGCUCAUAAGCAGAGGUGCAAAAUGUCUGAAGCCAUGAGUUAAAAAACUUUUGCCAGAAAGGGGGGGAAAUGGGGAGAUACUGAAAUGUCUGCAAUGCAUUGGGCGUCGCGCACCCCACUUCACUGCAGGCCUCAGAGUUCCAGUGGGGGCUUACCUCCAGGUCGCAUAGUCCUGGAUUCUUAGUCUGGCUCAAUCUGGGUCCUACAUCAACUAUUAAAUGAGAACAAGAGAAAUACUUGUCUCCUAAAGGGGUUGUCGGAUGAAAUGUUAGCCCGGCCCUUCUUC